AGAGUGCGGCUCCGAGGGUGUGGACAUUUUUUUUGUUUUUUCUUCUGGUUUUUUUUCACUAGUGUGUGGCUGCGGCGCUGCGGAAGAAGGAUCAGAGUUGCUAUCAGAUCUAUUUUUUUCUAUUUUGGUACUCCCCUAUGCGGUUGCUGGUUUCGGUGACAGUGGCGCAGCCAAGAUCGAGGGGGCUGAUGUGAUUUGUCGCGGUGUGUUGUGGCAGAACCUUCUUUUGUGAUCAGCGCACGACGUCAAGGUUUGGCGUCAUUUGGCAAAAGAGUGUUGGCGCAGGAAGGAGCGUUGUUUUUUGCUAGCAGUGCUCCAAGUAAUCGACUAGGCGUUGUGUUCUUAGUUCUUCUCUUAGGGUGAAGGAAAAGCGUGCGGUGUAUAGAGCUUGGAGGGUAGAAGCAGUUGGCUAGUUAACGUGGAAGCUUGGACUGCAACGGAUUUUUGUUCUCUGUGUGUCUGAUUUUUUUAUAAGGCGCCCGGGGCUCCAACUCUGAGAGAGUUUUCUUCCGGUGUGUUGUUUCCUACAGCGAUGGUGUCGCAGGCUCAUGAUCUCGCACUUGCUCUAAAGUGCUGUGUAAGGCGGACAUGUGUUGUGGCUGUAAAGAGCGGUGGAUUCUAGGAGGAUCUUGGUGUUAUCAUCGCUUUCGACGUCUUGAAGUGUGUGGCGCAACAUUGGCUAGUGACGGUUGGCGAUUGGACAACGUUGAAAUUGUUGUUACCUAAGUGCGGCAUCGUGGAGUAGCAGUCUGAAGCGUUGCUCGCUCUGAACAUCGAGAAAGCUGUCCCGAUUUAUUUGCGAUUGAUCGUUCUGGAGUAAUGUAGGUUGUGUCAUGGUACUGGGAAGUGAAAGAUUGACCUUCAAGCAAGACUUUGACCAGCAGGAUACUUUUCGUGUUUAGUACCAAGCCGCGAGUGGUGGUGACUCGAAGAGUGGUGUUAGUGUCGUUGGUAGUGGCUCGUCUGCAUUGCUCAUGUUUUUGAAAUACAGUGCGUGUACGCACUAUGGCCUGAACAUGAAGAUCGUCCCAAAAAUCUGGAUCUUCUUGUAGUUCAAAAGAAGAUAUAUUUUCAAGUCCACCUUUCAUUGAGUGUGGGUUCUGCUGCUCUCGUUGGGAAACCUUGUGAAUGAAGGCAAUAGUGUGUAGCACCCCAGGCUUCUUUGGUUGAAGGAUAUUCUUGAUAGGAGUGGUUCUGGACGGACUGCUGGAAGUACUGGAAUCAGAUUCACAUGCAGAAUCAUAGUCGACUUGUUGGAUGCAACUGUGUAUCUCGAAUAUAGGUUGCUGCUUGAACAUGAUGGAAUGCUGAGCUCUGGACAUUGUUGACGGUGAAGUGUUUAGCACCACAUUUGAUUAUUACGAUACAAUCGCUUGGGCAGAGAAAUUUUCUUACAUCCUUCAGUGGUCGUGAGUGGUGGAGGGUCUGUGCUCAACAGUGUGUAAGGUGGUUUACAUUUGGACGAGAGGCGGAGUUAGAGGCAUUGAGUCAUCUCAAAUAUUGCGACUCUUGCGAUGUGUAUGUUCCAGUGGUAAAUUAGACAUCAUUACAUAUCGGGCGUCGGUUGUAGAAGUGGCAGGACGGCAUAUUUCACAACCAAGGACGAGGAGCGCAUGUGGAGGCAAGGGUCCUUCCUCAGACCGGUUGUUACCAAGCAGAAGGGUGAGGUGAAUUCAAGUUGACAAAGGAUUUUAGGUUAAUAAAAAGUUAAUUUUAGGUUAAAUUGAAUUAGGAUUUUUGGGAUGAACCAAUCUGGAUGGAAUUUCAAUCAAAGAUGAAAAUAUAUUAGAUGAAGUUAAUUUAUGGAUGAAUUAU